UGGUGGAACCAUCUAUAGUCUUUGUGGUUCUUCCAGGAACCUAGAAGAUUCUUGAAUAACCCCACAUUCAGUUGUGAAGUUCUGGAGUCACCUUUUCACUACACUGGGACCUCAAAGUGCUUUGCGGGUUAUUGAAGGAACUCAAAUUCUAAAAAAUGGUUCUUGUAAGAUCUGUAAACUUGUAAGUGGUUCCUGUAGAAUCUCUCUUAUACAUGACAGUAUCUAGAGGAACCCCCAAAAAUUCUGCAUGAAAUAGGGAUUUUUAGUGUCUGAUCAUUUCGAUGUUUUUUGAGAAUAAGAAUAGUCCAAAGUUUGGUUUUUGGCCCCUGCUAAGUGAACACACAUUUUAAAAUCAUGCGCAUGAUUAGAAAAGGCUAAAUGUUAUUUUGAAAAAUUUCAGCAAGCUUUUUGAUUAUUUUAUAUUUCUUAUUUGUAUUAUAUCAUUAAUUAUAUUAAUAUAUUAUAAAUAAACAUUUUUAUUCUAUAAGUAGAUCCUAAGUCACUGAAAUCUUUUGAAAAUGUAAACGUUGUUGUGCUUUCCAUCCAAACAAACUGCAGCUGCUCUGUGUGUUUAUUGUGCAGUUUCGCCCUCCACAGUACUUUGGCGCUGUUGGCCCAAUGUCGCAGCGUCAAGGCAUGUGCCAUGUGGCGCUUUCGUUAGUAUGUGUGUUUAACUUUUUCCAGCUCUGCGCAGACCGAUCACCUUAUGACAAAAAGCAUACGGACUUAGAAUAACAUCUCUAAAGCAUACAGAGCAGUCAGUUCACAAAUAGCUCUCACUGUGCUGUGAUGUCGCCGAUCCGUCUGCGAUCAAACAUCAGUGGCACGAGUGUUCACCGGUGUUGUUCCGCUCGCGCGACAGGCGGGAAUUCAAAAUAACGGAUCGCAACAACCUCUCGACUGUCCCAUUGGAUAAUUUUCAGUAUUUUCCAGUUGAGCAGCAAAAAAAUGGACACCCAAGGCCAACAGACCCAGCCCACCCUGAUGCUCA